UGGGGUCAAGCAGCCCCCAAUGGCUCCUUAAUGUGUGCCCUCUUCUGGAACAUCCGCGGCUUCGGUCAUGAUGGCCGACGCCGCCAACUCAUCGAAUACAUGCGAGAUGAGCACAUUGACAUAGUCGCCAUCCAGGAAACCAUGCGCACGGAAUUCUCUCUUCCGGAGCUCGAUAGGCUGAGCUCCCACCUUUUUGCUUGGCAUUGGCUCCCUUCUAGUGGGAGUACCGGCCAUUUUGGUGGCAUCCUUUUAGGAGUGAAGGAUGCCACCUUUGAGGUGGGUAGUAUGGACCAGGGCCAGUUCUUUGUUAGUAUGGAACUCUAUGAACGGGCCCUUAACUUCAAGUGGGAGGUUAUCAUCAUUUACGGCCCUGCAGACCAUAGUAGGUCUGUCGCCUUCCUCGACGAGCUCCAUCGGAAGGUUUCGGCCGCCUCUCUUCCGGUGGUGGUCGGGGGCGAUUUUAACCUCCUCCUAUUCGCGGAAGACAAGAGCAAUACUCAUGUCAACUUUGCGCGGAUGCAAGUGUUUAAUGACUGCAUUGCUGAUCUUGGUCUUCACGAGAUAGAUAGGAUUGGUGCCAGAUUUACCUGGACCAAUCGCCAGGCGUCCCCGACCCAGUCCGUCCUGGACCGGGUCCUAGUCUCCCCGAGUGGGACCUCCGCUGCUCCCUAG
rnacentral:rRNA from 1 species